rnacentral:rRNA from 1 species
CCCUUAGAUGUUCUGGGCCGCACGCGCGCUACACUGAUGCAUUCAACGAGCCUAUCCUUGACCGACAGGUCCGGGUAAUCUUUGAAUCUGCAUCGUGACGGGGAUAGAUUAUUGCAAUUAUUAAUCUUCAACGAGGAAUGCCUAGUAGGCGCAAGUCAUCAGCUUGCGUCGAUUACGUCCCUGCCCUUUGUACACACCGCCCGUCGCUGCUACCGAUUGAGUGGUCCUGUGAAUUAUUCGGACCGGUGGACUGUGGGGAAACCCGCGGCCUGCUGGGAAGUCUUGUGAACCUUAUCACUUAGAGGAAGCAGAAGUCGUAACA